GAUUCCUUAGCUCAGCUGGUAGAGCAACGCCCUUUUAAGGCGUGGGUCCUGGGUUCGAGCCCCAGAGGGAUCA
rnacentral:tRNA from 1 species